rfam:Stegodyphus mimosarum contig66735, whole genome shotgun sequence.
GUGUUCGUGGUGUGGUGGUGAGCACGCUGGACGCGUAACCGAGAGGUCCGUGGUUCGAUUCCCGGCGAAGGCG